rnacentral:rRNA from 1 species
AUACAAAACAACUUUUGGCAAACGGAUCUCUUGGCUCUCGCAACGAUGAAGAACGCAGCGAAAUGCGAUAAGUAGUGUGAAUUGCAGAAUUCAGUGAAUCAUCGAAUCUUUGAACGCACAUUGCGCUUCCUGGUAUUCCGGGGAGCAUGCUCGUUUCAGAAUCAUUAAAAGCUCAUUGCUCUUUUGUGUACGCUAACCAGCUAAGCAAGGGUGUGAUGGAUAUGGGAGUGUUGUAUAAACUUCGGGCAGUGCUUUGCCUUAGAAACCUUACAUCUUCUCAAAACAAUGAUUUAGUAAGGACCCAUUGGAAAGCUACUAAUAGUGCGACAGCAAUGUUAUAGAAGUCACUUUUAUGCGCGCUUUCAACCAACAAUGGUCAGCCUCUCUUAACUCCAACUUACACAUUGUUAGCUCUUUGCUAACUUUGAAACUUGGUCUGAAAUCGAGCAAGAAAACCCGCUGAACUUAAGCAUAUCAAUAAGCGGAGGA